rnacentral:rRNA from 1 species
UACGGAGGGUGCAAGCGUUAUCCGGAUUUACUGGGUUUAAAGGGUGCGCAGGCGGAUAUGUAAGUCAGUGGUGAAAUCUCCAGGCUUAACCUGGAAAUUGCCGUUGAUACUAUAUAUCUUGAAUGUUGUGGAGGUGAGCGGAAUAUGUCAUGUAGCGGUGAAAUGCUUAGAUAUGACAUAGAACACCAAUUGCGAAGGCAGCUCACUACACAAUUAUUGACGCUGAGGCACGAAAGCGUGGGGAUCAAACAGG